UGAACGCUGGCGGUAGGCCUAACACAUGCAAGUCGAACGGCAGCACAGGAGAGCUUGCUCUCUGGGUGGCGAGUGGCGGACGGGUGAGGAAUGCAUCGGAAUCUACUCUUUCGUGGGGGAUAACGUAGGGAAACUUACGCUAAUACCGCAUACGACCUACGGGUGAAAGCCGGGGACCUUCGGGCCUGGCGCGAAAGAAUGAGCCGAUGCCCGAUUAGCUAGUUGGCGGGGUAAGAGCCCACCAAGGCGACGAUCGGUAGCUGGUCUGAGAGGAUGAUCAGCCACACUGGAACUGAGACACGGUCCAGACUCCUACGGGAGGCAGCAGUGGGGAAUAUUGGACAAUGGGCGCAAGCCUGAUCCAGCCAUACCGCGUGGGUGAAGAAGGCCUUCGGGUUGUAAAGCCCUUUUGUUGGGAAAGAAAAGCAGUCGGUUAAUACCCGAUUGUUCUGACGUACCCAAAGAUAGCACCG
rnacentral:rRNA from 1 species